rnacentral:misc_RNA from 1 species
AUAAAGGGGAAAAUUGGAAAAGAAUUUUUUUUUUCUUUGUUGAAUGUAUGUUAAUGUCAACAAAAACACCAAUUCACAUCCUCCCUAAAAUCAUAAAAAAUCAAAUAUGGCACUGUUCGGAAUUACAAAUCUAAAAAGGCAUGAUAUGUGUCGUUUUCGUCUCAUAGCUCAUCAGCACCCCACCAUCCUUGCACCCAACUCUCAAAACCUUCACCAAAUCUGCACACAUCCUCCUUACAUUCCCUUCCCCUUCACUCUGCAUUACCAGCAACAACUUGGUCAACCCAUUGCACCUCAUCACCUUCUCCUGCAUCUUCCCGUCCCUGAACGAACAGCACAAACUCCAUAGCACCACUACAACAUCCUCCGUUGCCGCUUUCGUCACCUUCAUUAAUUUCUCUACCAUACACUCCGCGCAUUUCGGGUCCUCGCUUAUUGCAUUUCGACCUUCCGUGCACGUCGAAACAAUUGAUAACAGCUUUAAGGAUUUCUCCACGAGUGAAACGGUUACGUUUUUGUUGCAGAGAGUUUCAGAUAGGACUUCAAUGAGUCCGAGCUGGACGAUUUGAAUCUUGAUUGAGCGAGUUACGGCGAUUGAGAUCAAGAGAGAUAAAACUGAGUCAUGUAAGGCCGGAUCGUUCUCUGUUUUGAGGAGAUGAAAAAGAACUGGCAUGAGAUUAUGCGUUUCUGCGACGAAGCGUUUGGUUUCGUUAUUGAUCGAAAUUGACUCCAGAACUCUAACGGCUUGGAUUUUCGAUUUGGAUCUUCCAUUUUGGAUAACGGAAAGAAACGAAGAUAAGCAAUUUUGAUUGCUUUUGAAGACUAAUCUGUGCAGUUUUUCCCUGAUUCCAUUUUGAAGCAAAAUCAAAUCCAAAACCCGAAAAAUCAACUCCAAAAUAUGAAUCUCUACUCCAUCUCUCCUCAAAACAACGACAAUCGCCUCUAUAAGACCAUCAAAGCGAACAAAAAAUGUUCUAUUCUCGUCAGAAUAUCUCAAGAACUCCACCAUCUUCCCCAGCGAUUCAAGUCUUAGUCUCUUAAUCUCCUCAAUCCAAAUUCCAACUUGCUGCUCCGAGACGGUGGUCGCCGUAGGCGUAGAGUUGCCGGAGUCAGGGCGGCGAGUGGAGGAUUGUGUCCAGAGGUUGAUGAGACGAUGGAGAGUGAGGUUGGGUAUGAAGUCCUUGGUGGCAAGGACCUGCAUCGUGGCGGGACAAGUGUCGUGUCCGGACUCGAGCCAGUGCUGAAUACUAGAACGAUCGUAUGUGACGCCGGUGCAGAGACUAACGGGAGACUUCAUUACGUCGAGAGAUAUCGGGCAGCGGAAGAGAUUGGGUACGGUUAUGCACAGUUCGUUUCUCCCCAUCUUUUUCGUUUCCUUCGUUCUCACAGAGGAGAUAGAUGUGUUUGGAGGAGCACAGAGAGGGAGUGGAGAAGGUGGGUUUUUG